UACGUAGGAGGCAAGCGUUGUCCGGAGUUACUGGGCGUAAAGGGCCCGCAGGCGGUGGAGUAAGUUUGGAGUGACAGUUCCCAGCUUAACCGGGAAAGGACUUCGAAAACUGCUCGACUUGAGGACUGGAGAGGAAGGCGGAAUUCCGGGUGGAGCGGUGAAAUGCGUAGAGAUCCGGAGGAACACCGACGGCGAAGGCAGUGUCCUGGGGAGUACCUGACGCUCAGGUGCGAAAGCCAGGGGAGCGAACGGG
rnacentral:rRNA from 1 species